rnacentral:rRNA from 1 species
GUUUAAGCAGCCGCGGUAACACGUAGGAGCCAAGCGUUAUCCGAAUUCACUGGGCGUAAAGCGCGUGCAGGCGGCUCGGUAAGUUGGAUGUGAAAGCUCCUGGCUCAACUGGGAGAGGACGUUCAAUACUGUCGAGCUAGAGGGUGACAGAGGGAGGUGGAAUUCCCGGUGUAGUGGUGAAAUGCGUAGAUAUCGGGAGGAACACCAGUGGCGAAAGCGGCCUCCUGGGUCGCACCUGACGCUCAGACGCGAAAGCUAGGGGAGCGAAUGGGAUUAGAAACCCGUGUAGUCC